UACAGAGACUGCAAGCGUUAUUCGGAUUCACUGGGCGUAAAGGGUGCGCAGGCGGUUGGGUGUGUCAGAUGUGAAUCCCGAGGCUUAACCUCGGAACAUGCCGUCUGAAACUACUCGACUAGAGUACUGGAGAGGGAAACGGAAUUCACGGUGUAGCAGUGAAAUGCGUAGAUAUCGAUGAGGAACACCAGAGGCGAAGGCGGUUUCCUGGACAGUUACUGACGCUCAGGCACGAAAGCAUGGGGAGCA
rnacentral:rRNA from 1 species